rnacentral:lncRNA from 1 species
CUCAAAUCACAGCCAAUCUACUUCCUGUAAAUUCCUGUAUAUCUCUGCACAUGGGCUGAUGAAGAAGAAAAGCUCAAAGAAGAAGCAUACAGCUGGCUCACUUCAUGAACAUGUCCUCACCCAACCUGCAACAUGGGUUCGAAGUCUUAUGAUUUUUCAAACAUCUGAAAUGACAAGACCACAGUCAGAAGUAUAAUACCUAACAUCCUAAGGACUAGAGAGAACCAAGAGAGAUGGAACUGGGAUCAGUUAAAGUGCUUCCCUGAUGGAUAACUGUCCACUGUUCUUCUAAGAAGGGGGAUGCUGAACAUCUCUGAAUAUAAACAUGGAAACCUUCCAUAACAUCUGCUGCUAAUUUCUGCCAGCUGAAAAGUGAUAAUGAUGAUGAAUACUUUUGUUGAUGAUGUGGAUACAUUGGUCUAACUAAAUUAACUUGCAGACUCAGGGCAUAUAAUUGAAAACACAUGAUUUGUGGUAUCACCUGGUUGGCUUUAUGGGUAGUUACAUAUUUAAUUGUUCCAAUACGUUUAACUUUAAAAAGCUAAAAGGGUAAAAUAAACCAGAAUAUUGGUAUAAUGUCAGGCUGAAUAUAGCUUGCUUAUUUGAUCAUCAUCAAAUAUUUUUGAAGGCAAAAAUUGACUGAAAAUUGUAUACUUAAGAUACUAACUUGCAAUUAUUGAUGAAGGGUGGUGAUAAUUAAGGUUUUCAGCUAGCCUGAAACUUCUUACUGUUAGCCUAAUCAAGUUUUGUUUUAUAGUGGAC